UAUGAUCACCGGGGAUGAACAACUUUUGUCACGUGACCGCAAAAGUCAACGCCGGUUGCAGAAACAGAUUGUAAUCUUGUACAUUAAGAAACAUGACGCUCGUGUGUGAAAUCUGUGGAAAGACAUUUAAAUCGAAGUGGGGGUUAAAGCUUCAUGAUAAGCGCCACAGAGGGACUGGACGAUUCGCCUGUUGUGGAAAAACAUUUUACACAAAACAGGCGUUCAACAGACACAGAUGCAGCAUUCAUGGUGUUGAAAAGCCGUUCCCCUGUGAACAAUGCGGCAAAAAGUUUUCAACCAAAGAUGACCUGAAUCGUCACGUCCGGAGGGAGGUUGCUGCAAAGCAAUUUACCUGCUCAAUUUGCAAUGCAACGCUCCGGGAGAAAAUUGACCUUCAGGCCCACCUUGCCACCCACAAUGGAGAGAAAAACUUUGCUUGUGAUAUGUGUGAAAAGAGGUACAGGCACCGCAGUAGUCUAUCAAAGCACAGAUCUGCAAAGCACCGGGCCUAGUCAUCUGUUGCAUGACGAUGAUAAGACCAAGAAUUAUUUUUAAUUCUUACCAAUGUGCCGUGGUUAUUUUCUUAAUUAUUGAAAAUACAGACUGUCAUACAAUAAUAUAUAGUAUUACGCGUGUUUUUGCGUCUUAAACAUUGUGUUUCAUAUCGUUUAUCUUGUGUUGUUUUGUUUGAUAUUCCUGUUUUUAAUAAGAUUAUUGUUGUAAUAUUUAUCAUUCUAAUUUAAAAUGAUUAUGAUAAUGGUUGAUCUCAUACAAAUUAUUGUGUUCAUUAUUGCUCAUCUGUGAUUACUGUUGAUCUCAGCCCAUGAAUUGUGAUUUAUAUUGAUUAUCUGUGAUUAUUGUUGAUCUUAUCAAAAUAAUUGUAAUUUAUGUUGAUUAUCUGUGAAUUUUUUAUCUUAACCUAUUAAUAGUGAUUUAUAUUAUCUGUGAUUAUUGUUGAUCUUAUCAAAAUCAUUGUGAUUUAUGUUGAUUAUCUGUGAUUAUUGUUGAUCUCAACCGAUUAAUUGUGAUUUAUAUAACCAGUGAUUAUUGUUGAUCUUUUCAAAAUCAUUGUAAUUUAUGUUGAUUAUCUGUGAUUAUUGUUGAUCUUUUCGAAAUCAUUGUAAUUUAUGUUGAUUAUCUGUGAUUAUUGUUGAUCUUUUCAAAAUCAUUGUAAUCUAUGUUGAUUAUCUGUGAUUAUUGUUGAUCUUUUCAAAAUCAUUGUAAUUAAUGUUGAUUAUCUGUGAUUAUUGUUGAUCUUUUCAAAAUCAUUGUAAUUUAUGUUGAUUAUCUGUGAUUAUUGUUGAUCUCACCAUAUCCGCUGGAAUAUACAUUUGAGCCGCGCUCUGUGAAAAGGGGGUUUAAUGCAUGUGCGUAAAGUGCAGUCCACAUAGGCUAAUCAGGGACGGCACUUUCCGCUUUUAUGAUAUGUUUUGUUAAAAGAAAGUCUCUUCUGAGCAAAAAUCGAGUUUAUCGGAAAGGUUUGUCCCUAAUUAGCCUGUACGGAAUGCACAGGCUAAUAUGUGACGACACCUUACGCACAUGCAUUAAACCCCCUUUUCACAGAGCGAGACUCAUUUGUAAUCUGCGAUUUUUGUUUAUCUAUUUCGAAUCAAUAUGAUUAAAAUAUAUUUUUGGUGAGUUAGCUUUUUGUCUCAUUGGAAUCAUUGUGCGAAUUGUCAACAAUUACAUGUAAAUCUGUAAUUCCUUCUCAAGUUGCACAUAGGCCAGUUUAAUGUUUUGCGUAUAAGCUAUUAUUGCGAUACGGGAUAUUCUUUGCAGCAAUAAAACAAUUAAUCUGCA